AAGAAGUGUUUUCCGCUUCGGACCAUGCCUAAGUCCCUUGGAAAAGGGCAUCAUAGAGGGUGAUAAUCCCGUACAUGGCAUGGAGCGCCCGAAGCUUUGUGAUACGCUUUCUAAGAGUCGAGUUGUUUGGGAAUGCAGCUCAAAAUGGGUGGUAAAUGCCAUCUAAGGCUAAAUAUUGGGGAGAGACCGAUAGCGAACAAGUACAGUGAUGGAAAGAUGAAAAGAACUUUGAAAAGAGAGUUAAACAGUACGUGAAAUUGCCAAAAGGGAAGGGUAGGAGGUCAGAGAUGCGGCCUGGGAUUCAGCCUUGCUUUUGCUUGGUGUUUUUCCCAGAUUGCAGGCCAACGUCGGUUUUGGGCACUGGAGAAGGGUAGGAGGAACGUGGCACCUCUCGGGGUGUGUUAUAGCCUCCUACUGGAUACAGCGACCGAGACCGAGGACAGCAGCGUACUCGCAAGAGCGGGCCUUCGGGCACCUUUACGCUUAGGGCGUUGGCAUAAUGGCCCUCUACCACCCGUCUUG
rnacentral:rRNA from 2 species